CUCCUGGCCUCAAGUAAUUCACCCACCUCGGCCUCCCAAAGUGCCGGGAUUAUAGGCGUGAGCCCCCGUGUCAAGCCAAGAUUAGGUUUCAUAGUCCAAGGUCCAUACCUUUGUUAAGAUAUUUUGGAUUUAAAAAAAGCUGUGAUGACAUCUGAGAUUCUUUGAACUGCUUUUUCAUAGAAUACUCAUGAAUACUUGAGCCCUCCAUGAAAAUGAGGGGUCUUAUAGAAAAAGUUUUAUGGGCUGUUGAUUGACUAAUUCUACAUUUCAGAGUCAAAAAUCUAUGUCUACUUUGGGUGACUUGUUUCUGUUAAAUUUCCUUGAGUCCCUUCUGUCUUCUGAUUUCAUUCUAUAAAAUCAUAGCAGUGUCUGAUUCCGGGAAUGACAUGUGGUUUUCAUUUUUUCAAAAACAACAUUCAGCUUUCCAUUACUUGUAAUCAUUGAAGAGCAUAAUGCACAGAUAGCUAGAUGGCAGAAAUUUCCAAACUCACUUGUAAUUAGCUCUGUAAAACAUUUAUAUACCUUUAAAAAAUCGUUCUUCCGAGCUGACAUAUGUAAAGUUAAAGUUAGCUGGCAUUUCUGAGCAGAGCCCAGUAGAAAGCAGUGUGAAGAUCCCAGGCUGAGAUGAUUUUUUCAGUCUGGUUUUUUAUUUCAUUGAUCUCCAAAGUGGGUUAUCUAUGGGCUGGUAAUUGAGAGUUGGCUGUGCAUACAGACCUAUCUCUUAACUGACUCUAAAACAAAACAAGGAAUGUGGCUUCAGUCAAGUCAACCUCUGAUGAAUGAGGGAGAUACUAACCUUCAACGAGCCCCUUUAAUCAGAGCACAGAAUAAUAAACGAUGAUGGGAUAAUUAGAAAACAAUUUAGAAAGCAACGUUAUAUCUCUACUUAUAUCAAUUGUUAGUAAAUUAAUUAAACUGCAAAUGGGUGGCAAGGGUUUUUUUAAGCAAACCCCUAAUGUAGAAACUUUAAGGAAAAAGAAUGAUAGGACUUUUUCAAAACAAUCACCAAAAACUGUGCUUUCAGUAACAAUUGAAAACAAGUGAAAUAGUGUGGAUAUUUGUCUCCUCCAAAUCUAAUGUUGAAAUUUGAUCUCCAAUGUUGGAUGUGGGGCCUAGUGGGAGGUGUUUGGGUCUUGGGGCGGAUCCCUCAUGAAUGGUUUCAUGCCAUCCAAGUAGUAGUGUGUGAGUUCUCACUCGACCAGUUCACACAAGAAUUGAUUGUUAAAAAGAGCCUGGGACCUUUCUCUCCUCCAGCUCUUCCUUUCACUUGUUAUGUGAUGCCUGCUCCUGUCUAUCUUUCACCAUGAGUAGAAGUUCCUUGAGGCCCUAACCAGAAGCGGAUGCUGGUGCCCUGCUUCUUGUACAGCCUCCAGAACCAUGAGCCAAAUAACCUCUUUUUGUUAUACAUUAUCCAGCCUCCCAUAUUCCUUUAUAGCAAUACCAACAGACUAAGACAGUAAGAAAAAAUUUAAAAAACAUAUACAUGACAUGAAUGACUUGAAAAAAGAGGGAGAGAUAGACCUUUACAAGAUACAAUUGGAAGUACAAAAGCUAUAAAGGAAAGUCUAGAUACUCUUUACCGCAUAAAAGCAUUUUAAAGUCUGUAUGAAAAGCAAUGCUUUAUAAAUAAAGCCAAAAGACAAGCAAUAUGCAGAAGAAAAUGCUUGUAACAUAUAAGACAGAUUAAAAAUGAUAACAGAAAAAACAUAAGACUUAUUAUGCGUCAGAUACUUAUAAGAUGUAUGACAAAUUAAAAAUGAUAACAGCAAACAUAGGACAUUAGACAUUAUGCAUCAGGUGCUAUUCAAGACAUUUUACAUAUUAACUCCUUUAAUCCUCACAAAGAUGAAUAUUACCUAAUGAAGUAGGUACUAUUAUUACCCUAUUUUGCUGAUAAGAAAACUGAGACCUUUCUGGUCUCAAGAACAAGGACAAGGUGGAAUUCGGAUCCAGGCAGUAUGGCUCUAGGGUGUGUGCUCUCAGUUAUCAUAUCAUAAUGUGUCUCUUAAAAACUUUAAAAUGUGAAUGCUGUAUACAGUGUUAACAGUGAUGUGGAUGACAGCACAGAAGGCAACUACUCUCACCUACUGCAGGUAAGAAUGUAAAUUGAACAAUUUCUCAAGGUCAAUUCGAUAUGACUUAACGAAAAGCCAUAGAAUUCUGUAUGGACAUUUGACCCAGAAAUUCCACUUGUUUUUUAUAGUAUCAAUUUAAAAUGGAUCCUUAUUCAUCGACACAUGAAUUUUAUAUACCUUAAAAAAAUUACACGAAGUUGGUGGCAAUCAGAAUCCGGGUGCCGGAUUUCAGUUUUUGCUUGUUUACAGCACUGCCAGAGUGUACGAAAGUAUUCAAAAUAUGACCAAAUUUAAGCAACCUCAGAUAAUGGUUGUUAUUUCUCCCCUCCAUACCAAACCAUUUUCUGUUCUUGAGUACACAAUUGGACUACAUAUCCCAGCCUUCCUGCAGUUAGAUCACAUGACUGAGUUCUAGUAAUGAAUACCAUUUCUGGGACAAAGCUUUAAAGAAGGAGGUGUGCCACCUCCAAGCUCUCAUUUUCCUUUCACUGACUGGAGGUGGAUGAUGAAUAUGAAGCCUCGACGAAGAGAAGGCAAAAUGAGUUUGUGUCCCUGAGUUGCUAAGUGGAGAAGAAACGUCCACCAACCAGGAAACACCUGCCUCCAACUGUUAACAGGUCUGUGAAAUGUGCUUUCUUUCUGGUCAGCAUGGUCACCCGCUUUAAUAGUGGCUUCAGAUGAGGCACUUUGUGACAGAGGAGCUCUGCCCCUGGUAAGCCGUUUCUCUUGAUAUGUCUUCAGCUCCUUGAUAACAGCUUGUGAUGAUGAUCUUGCAGACUUCUCCAGCUUUUCUGCUGAUACGCAGAUUCUUCUUCUCAGCAGGCUGAUUCUUGCUCAGCUAGCUAAUGAUUUUAUUGAAUCUUCAAGAAUCUUGUGUUUGCCCUCCAUCAUUGUUCUGACCUUAAAUUUUCUUAUUUUCCACCUUGUCCUUAGUGAAGACUGUGGAUUUAAGUGAGUUCUUAGAGUUCUUAGGAGAUACUAACUAUGUUUCUCUGCUUCUCCUUUUCUGUGUGUGCGUUGAACUUCUCAGCAUUUUGGACUAUGUAAUUAAGAGCUUCAUUAAUCAACAUAUUCUUCCACGUGGUGACUUAAUACUCUCCUGUUUGGCCUCUUUGUUCACAGCAGCAACCUUGAAGAUGUUGUGGAAGUCAAUAGUCAUUCUUACUUCACUCUGAGGACCACAAUAGCGUGCAAGGGUGUGUCAAGCUCAUUGCUAUCUUUGGCCAUUCUCUCUCACAUUAGUACACCUGGAUGUGAAUGGCAUGUUAUCUAUGAAGCAGUGAUGGUCUCUAUCUGGUGGUAGAAAUGACGGAAUUACACACAAUCAGGACAGCUGAGAUUCCAUUUACUAGCUCAGUAAUCAGAGAAUAUGUAUGACAUCCCAGCAAAAAAAUGUUGAACAUGUUCAGAUUUCAUCGUAUCAGCACCACGGUAUCAGUCUUACUGGGAAGACGCUUGCAUUCAGUUCCUGGCUACUGAAGAAAUUUUGCAGGAGUUCCAGAUAACUUACUGGGUCCAUAAUAAUGAAAACUAUUACAAUUAUGCUAAAGAAGAAUACUUAAUAACACAGAAAAUGUUCAUGAUGUCUUUUAAUUUAGAAAGCAGGUUAUAAAAGUAUUACAGUAUGAUCGCAUAUUUAUAAGUAAAAUAUAUAUAAAUUCAUUUAGCAAAUAAAUAUUAAGCCCCUCCUA